GUAGUUAUUUAAAGAUAAAUCAUGUACAAAUUGCUCAAGACAUCUUUCUCCAGCCUCCAGUGAUGUGGCCUGGCUGGUCACUACCUCAUUCCCAUCAGCAGGCAAUGGUCGGGAGAGAAAGGAACCUCCGUGUCUAUAAGGAAUUUCUCCAAUCUUCCUCCUCCUGAGGGCAUUGCCAACAUUUCUUCCACUCAGCCUGAAAGUGACACAACACGCAGAUGCCCCAGGAAACCUGAGUCUACAUUUUUUUCCACAGAAAUCAAAGAUGGCUGGAAGUGAUAAAUCAGGUGUGGAGAUCUGCAUUAUCUUUCUGUGCUCCCC
rnacentral:lncRNA from 1 species